GGCUAGUCUGAAAGUAGUGAGUUAUCUCUGUUCUCAGUCAGUUACAGAUCGAACUCUUUGUUCUACUCUUUACCCCCUUCUCACUACUGCACUUGACUAGUCGUAA
ensembl:Y_RNA Y_RNA Y RNA